UAGGGAAUCUUCGGCAAUGGGGGCAACCCUGACCGAGCAACGCCGCGUGAGUGAAGAAGGUUUUCGGAUCGUAAAACUCUGUUGUUAGAGAAGAACGUUAAGUAGAGUGGAAAAUUACUUAAGUGACGGUAUCUAACCAGAAAGGGACGGCUAACUACGUGCCAGCAGCCGCGGUAAUACGUAGGUCCCAAGCGUUGUCCGGAUUUAUUGGGCGUAAAGCGAGCGCAGGUGGUUUCUUAAGUCUGAUGUAAAAGGCAGUGGCUCAACCAUUGUGUGCAUUGGAAACUGGGAGACUUGAGUGCAGGAGAGGAGAGUGGAAUUCCAUGUGUAGCGGUGAAAUGCGUAGAUAUAUGGAGGAACACCGGAGGCGAAAGCGGCUCUCUGGCCUGUAACUGACACUGAGGCUCGAAAGCGUGGGGAGCAAACAGGAUUAGAUACCCUGGUAGUCCACGCCGUAAACGAUGAGUGCUAGCUGUAGGGAGCUAUAAGUUCUCUGUAGCGCAGCUAACGCAUUAAGCACUCCGCCUGGGGAGUACGACCGCAAGGUUGAAACUCAAAGGAAUUGACGGGGGCCCGCACAAGCGGUGGAGCAUGUGGUUUAAUUCGAAGC
rnacentral:rRNA from 1 species